rnacentral:rRNA from 1 species
GAUCUUUAUUUUUGUUAUUUAUAAAUUAAAAAGAAUUUUAAAAUUUAUAAUUUAAUAAAAAAUUUUAUUGGGGUGAUAUUAAAAUUUAAAAAACUUUUAAAAUUUAUUAACAUUAAUAUAUGAAUAAAUGAUCCAGUUUUAUUGAUUAAAAAUUUAAGUUACCUUAGGGAUAACAGCGUAAUUUUUUUUUAGAGUUCAUAUCGACAAAAAAGAUUGC